GCCUUAUUGGCUCUCUCCGCCAGAGGCCUAUAAUGAAUCAGUCGGAAAGAGGAUUCCACAGUGUUUUUCUCCGGUUCGGAUAAACACAUGUUUUUUCCAUUCACCCUCUCAAGGAAGCACCAAGCUUGUGAGUAACUUGACCUGCAUUUCAAAGACGCUGUUCAUCAUAUUGUAGUCGGCUGUCAGUUGGCUUGGAAAAUAUGGCUAAACUUCCUCGGGCAACCUCAGAGCUAUUGAAGAGAUAACAAGAGGGGAGAUUGUUUGGAGCAAUAAAUCCUGACAUGAUAAUAAAUGGUAAUCAAGGUGCUGGUCGAACCUCGAGGAUCAGAGCCACAGCUGCAGACACA
ensembl:lncRNA